rnacentral:lncRNA from 1 species
CCUUUAGUUUCCUUCCCGCUCAGCACAGUUCUCCUCUGCUUGUUCAGAGCCAGAGCCAAUGGAGGCGGAGACUGGGAAUCAGCAUAGUCUCCGUGCAGUGCACAGAGGCACUGUCUGGAGGUGCCGACCUUGAGAACAGAACUUUGUCCCUCUUGGGUCCCUGUAAUGCAGGGCACACCUGGGACCUAUUUGGGACUUUGCAGGGACAGCUGCCGGUACCUGACAGGCCCGGAGCCUCCGGAUCAUCUGCAGGCCCAUUUGGAUGGCCCUGUUGGGGAGAGGCAGGAGGUGCAGCUGGAGGAGGUAGAGGAAGGACAGACAGCUCGUCUGCACGGAAGGAGGCAGCGCGGAUGUUUGCAGCGACAGAUGGCAGCAUCCGGCAGAGCCCUGGAAGCCGGGUGAGGAGAGGAGGGGAGGCCGGCCAGACUCCUCUGCAGCUCUCAGGCCUCCCGCACAAGCUCAGCCUGCCUGGCACACACGUGGAGAUUCUCCCCUCCCUGUGUGGCGCUAAGGCACCUUGGUGAGCUCCUCAUGGUCCACAUGGGCUGCGAGUGUGUGGGAUGGCCUGGGGCGACUGGAGAAGUCUGUUCACCUGGCCCUUUGGGAGCCAAGUGGAGGAGGCUCCAGAUCAGCCCCAGAAACCCUGUUCGCUGUUCUCAGUGAGGGCGUCUGCCACGAGACUGGGGCCAGAGGGGCCAUGUAGGGAUGAGGAGUGGCGGUGACUGGGAGGUGAGGAUGGCCAGAAAGUGCUAGUCUCCCAUCAUCCCUCUGUCUUGGUGAACUCCGCUGUAUCUUAGAAUCCUGCUUGACCCGGCUCUUCAGGAAGCUGCCCUGGCAGGCCGGGCUGAGCCUGAAGAUGCCUGGCCUGGCUCUGUGGCCUCUGUGAGCCCCGGCCCCUCCUGGCCUCAGUUCUAGCUGGAGGAAACAGGACUCCCUCCUCAUCCUGGGAAGGCGGUCUCUUCCUCUCAGCGGGACUUUGAAGAGGCCGUGAAGAACCCACAGGGCCCUGCAGCAGUGGAACCAGACACCCAGAUUCACCACCCUGGAGUCGUUCCCAGCCUAGCACAGAGCCUGGGAAACAGAUGGAGAAAGCGUAGGGUGGGAGGGCCCAACAUCCUGGGCGGCUGGGGAAAUGACAGCAGCCGGGAUCCCAGCACUUAGCAUGGGUCAGUUAACAAUGCAUCCGGCCCCACCCAGCCUGUGAGGAGCCCCUUCUGUUCCUCACGCUCACACACCUGAAACUGACUCUCUGCUGGGCUCACUUGUCCACACUGCUGCUACUACCACCGCCACAGGGCCAGGAUUAGACCCCAGACAACCUGGACCGGAAGUCCACACUCCCAUCCACGGAACUACAAAACAAAAUGAAAACCAUCUCUCCCUCUGGCAGGGAUGACGGAUAAUAGGUUUGAUGCCAUCAAGUGCUGCUGAGGUCACCUCACCACCACCACCACCACGGGGAGCCCACGUCUGAUUACCUAGGGAGCCCCAAGAGUUCGGGUCAGAGUGGAGCGAACAGCUCUUUCAUCUCAUCUGCGUUUAGGUUGCCAUGCAGGAAAGAGUCGUGCAUUGCUUUGGUUUGUAACUCAUUUAAAAGGAGAAUGGGGGCAGUGAUACAGGGACAGCAUGUGCGAGGCCCGAGUUGCAUCCUUAGCCCAUCCCCCAAACAGAUGGGGGAGUAUGUUGGGGAAAGGGAAUCAAAGAUGGACAGAAUGGAAGGCUCUCAGACAGUUGUCCCUGACCGUGACCUCCUGCAGGCUUUGUCUGGGCGAGGCCUGUUCUUUUAUUGGGCACAUAUGUAUUUUCUGGGGGCCCCUAGGUCCUCGGCUCUGUGCCGGGCUGUGUGCUCUCCCCAGGCACACCCAGGGUGUGUCCCGACAGAGGGGCUCCCCUUCUGUCCCUGUCUGGGCGCUCUGUGGUAACAAGGUCAGGGCUGCAGGGAGGAGCCAGUUCUGGCCAGAGCUCUGAUCUGUGACGGGCUGUUCCCCGGAGCAGCUGCUACAACAACAUUUACUUUGUACAGUGGCCAAGAGAGAGAGCAAGAAAAGGAAGAGAGAGAGAGAGAGAGAGAGAGAGAGAGAGAGAGAGAGAGAGAGAGACAGAGGGAGAGAGCACACAAGCCUACUCUAUUGCAAAAUGUUUCUGACAAAAUCUGGCACUCCUGGUUCUAAUCAAAAUACUGAACUUUGGAACAAAUUAACAUUCCACAGCCCUCACUGGGAAGGAGAAUUCAGCCGAGACGACUUCAGUUCACAACAACAAAAAUAGCUUCUCCCGGGGAAGACACAUUCUGCUAACAAGGUCACUUGUGUUUUGCUUCCCCUGCCAUCUGGCUGAGCGGCAACCAGGGGCUGGCACUGGUACCAGCGUCUUGUGUGGAGAGGGGCUGGGAACCGGGUGGUGCCGCUGAAGGCUUCUCAGCCUCCUGGCAAAGGGUGUAGGCGUGGAGUUACCUUCAGACAGUCCCAGAACUGGGGCAGAUGGAGCCCAGUCUCACCCAGCCGGGCUCAGCUUCGAGCUCCGAGCAGCAGGAGGUGUGACACCAGCACACAGCAACAAGCAGAUCUGGAGGCCAGAAGUGUGAAAUCAAGAUGUUGUCAGGGCUCUGUUCCUUCUGAGACCUUCUGAGACCUUCUUUGCCUCCUCCCAUUUUCUGGCACACCAGUCAUAUUGGAUUAAAGGCCCAAGACUCCAUUCUGACCUCAUCUUGGCUAAUUGCAUCUCCAUGACCCUAUUUCCAAAUAAGGUCACAAUCUCAGGAUGUGGAGCAGCACCCCAACCUUUAUCAAACAGAUGCUUCUAGCAUUGCUUAAUUCAGUUGCGACAACCAAAAAAUGUUAGUGUCUCCUGGUGUGUGUGUGUGGCAAAAUUACCCCUAGUUGAGAAGAAUGAGAAUAUUCAUUUAGGGGUUGGAAAUCUUAAAGUUGUAAAAAUCAUCCAAAUUUCUCUUUAUCUUGCUUUCUGUUAAAUACUUUCCUGUGUUGUAAGGCUGCUCUGCUCUGAGACCACUGGCACCGUGAGCAGAUGGCAUGACUUGGCUGUCCCCUGCUCCUGCCUCCGUGCACCUGGGACCUGUGGGUGGCCUCGUUUGCAUGGAGGAAAAAGAUAAUAUCCCUAUUUAUUACAAAGACUCAGGCAUUUGAAGGACCCAACCAAUGGUGUGACAUGUGUGGGCACAUGAACUUCACCUUGGAUGCCCCAGAAGUUUCUAGAGCUGACUUCCUUUAACUAGAAGGAAUAUGACUGUGGUCUUAGAAGAAAGACAUUACCUGGAGGAAGUUGAAAGCCAGCAUGCAGAGAAGGAAGACUACGGAAGGGCUCAGGCAGCUACACAGCUCUGCAGAACAAAAUGUUCUUGUCCAGGCCAUGGGGCCACAGGCUGGGACAGAGGGGAGGAACAAUGAUGUCAUGGAAUGAGAAGGAGUUGGGAACACUAUUGGAAUGAAUGUUCCAUUGAUUACACGAGUUGCUGACAAGCAACAGCAGAAAUGGAGCUGGGUGAUCAGUCUCAAAUUCUCCCCCUGACAUUUGCAAGAAAAGUGGUGAACACAUCCCAGACACCCACUUCCUACCCCCGUUAUGUGUAUGAGUGACGCCUGGUGUGUUUGCAACCCAAUAAUACCAGCUACCAAUUGCUUGCUGUGCACCAAGCUCUGUGGAUUGAAUUCUCACAAAUCAUAGUGUUUUAGUUGACUGAACUUCAUUUGAAUAAGUGGAUUUCGGGGAAUAUGUCUGCUGAGAUACUAAACCUUGAUUGCACUGCAGUGCUGGGAUGGAACCGAGGGCCUCGUGCACAAUGGACAAGUGCUUGACCACGGAGCUCCACCUCAGUCCUUUACUGAGCCUUAGACUUUAUCUUCAUGUGCUCUCUAGACAACUCCUGUGUUAACAUUUGAGGCUUGUAUAGGCCAAGCAUCCCUAAUCUGGAAAUCAAAAGUGCUCCAAAAUCCAAAACUUUCUGAGCACUGACAUGCUGCCAUAGUGGAAGUUCAGUUCCUUGUGGCUACGGAACAGAGACCCUGUGUCGUUGCUGGCUGCUCCCCGCUCCGGGCGGCUGCCCACACUCCUUGUCACACAGUUCCUUCUGCCUUCCAGCCAGCGAUGGCACAUGGGCUCCUCGUUCUCAGAAGCUCUGACUUUUCUGUUGCUGACUUUAGAAGCCUUCAAGGGUGGUCCUGCCAAUCCCUGCCACAGCAGCAGCCGUGUUAGUGUGGUUGUAUGUACAGCCCGGGGCAGGAACUCUCACAGGCAGGCUUAGAAGUCUGCCUCCCGCAAGGCUUUUGACCUAAGUGUUAGACCAGGUCUUUUGCUGACCCUGACUUCAAAAUGUUUGAAUGCACAGUUGUGCAAGGAGUUCCCAUAUUGUGGCUGACAUUGAAGAAGAGUUGUUUAAGGUGCGACAUUCUGCAGAUCUAUGGGUACUGCCUACACUGCCUCGUGCUGUUGAUUACUGCAUUGAUGGCUUCAGAAGCUCUCCACGUGUUGAUCAAGACCUUGUUGAACCUUGACAGAGUGAUAAAUUGCAUGCUUGUUUCCCCUCAUGAUUUCGUGGCUCUUUUGAAAGACUACCCCCUUGAUGUGCCCAGGAAAAUUUCCUUUGAUGUGCUAAGUCUGGACAGUUGAGCUUUUAAGGAAUCUAAAGCAGAGAAAAUGAGUACCUGCCCAUCCUGAUGCAGGCUGGCCUCUGUGUUUUCUGCUUGUGGUGAACCUGGGCUGCAAAAAUGGUUUUUAUUCUCAGCCAUCUGGUUCCUCUCACCUGUCAAAUAGCCCAGCUCUCAGAUUCUGACACAAGAAUAAAUUGCCCCCUUGUUAUGUUAAGUAAAAGAAACUAAAGUGUGAAGGAAAACGCCUUUGAAAGAGAGGCCAAGGAAGGAGUUCCUAUUGCCAAGAUUGGUCAAAAGUGGCUGGAAAUCUCUCUCUUUCAAUGCAGCGGGUUUUGACUGGUAUAAAACAGCAUUUUCCAGCAUGUGUCUCUGGGAAACCAGUUUUAUCUGAUGAGUAAUGGGUGUGAGGAGGAAAAGAUUCUCCCGUCACACAGGUUCACCAUGCUACCUCCGUAUCAAUCUCCUGAGGUGAAAUACGAUUGGCUGUGAUCUACAAACCCAUGUAGGGGCUGAUGCUCCUCUGGUUUCCUGUGAAAGAAAUAUUUACAAGAUAAGGGAUCCAAGGAGCACACUUCAGGAAGGGCAGCGUUGAAGGAUAGCUAUGACUUUGAGAAAGUAGGCAUGGGCAGUUGGCGAAUCUGUGUCGCCAAUCCACAGAUGAACCCGUCUCCACAUUUGAGGAGGAACAGAGUCGGAUUGUAGAUGCACACUUGGUGUGUCUUAAAUAUUUCUCAGUAAAAUUAUUUCUUACACUCUUUAUUGACUAUUGAUAUCAUUCUCAGUUUGAGGGUCCCCAAAGUAACCUCAGAGCCUUCAGUAAUAAUUUUCUAUCUAGAGAAUGGUGAAGAGAAUGAAAUGAAUAUUUUGAUUAUGACAUGGGUGCUUUUGGUAUCUUUAUCCUAUUUAAAUUUUGCAAUAACCCUG